GAUGAACGCUAGCGGCAGGCCUAACACAUGCAAGUCGAGGGAGAAGCCCUUUCGGGGGCAGAAACCGGCGCACGGGUGCGUAACGCGUAUGCAACCUACCUUUCACAGGGGGAUAGCCCGAAGAAAUUUGGAUUAAUACCCCAUAAUAUUAUUGGAUGGCAUCAUUUGAUAAUUAAAACUGCGGUGGUGAAAGAUGGGCAUGCGUCCUAUUGGCUAGUUGGAGUGGUAACGGCACCCCAAGGCUACGAUAGGUAGGGGUCCUGAGAGGGAGAUCCCCCACACUGGUACUGCGACAGGGACCAGACUCCUACGGGAGGCAGCAGUGAGGAAUAUUGGUCAAUGGUCGGAAGACUGAACCAGCCAUGCCGCGUGCAGGAAGAAUGCCUUAUGGGUUGUAAACUGCUUUUAUAUGGGAAGAAUAAGGCGUACGUGUACGUUGAUGACGGUACCAUAUGAAUAAGCAUCGGCUAACUCCGUG
rnacentral:rRNA from 1 species